rnacentral:lncRNA from 1 species
CCUGACUCUCCUUGAGCUAGCGGGAGACCGAGGUCCUCUGGGUGCCGCUUUGGGGUGUCGGGGGCCCAGAGCUGCACUGGUAACCAGGCAACGCGGGUAAGUUUUCAGCUGGUUUGAUUACCCAGAAAAAACAAGCCCCCUCCGGUCCCACCUCUCCCAUCUUGGCAGGGAACAUCUGCUGUUGCCAGGCAACAGCCGCUGCGCCUCGCUGGGGGCAGGAGCCGGCCCUGCUCCAUGGCCGGAUGCUGCCUCGCACUUGCCUCCCUGCCCUGGAGUCGCUGGCCCGAGACCGAGAUGCUGCGUCGCUGGACCUGAGCCAGGAGCAGAGGCCACGGGCCCUUCCUCCCCACUGCGUGAGCCCAACAACGCUCACAGCUCAGCCUCCUCAGAGGCCCCGGGAAACCGCUCUGACCUCUCAGACCGCUUUGGCCUUCCCUUCCCACGUGGUGCUGCGGCUCACUGACAGGAAGUGGCCUUGGAGGACGGAGAGUCAUGGGUCAGAGAGGCCAUGGUGAGCACCAGCGGCACCCAGCCAUCUUUACCAACAGCCCUUCUUUGCUUUAGCACUAGACCUUUGUAUGUGUGUGCACGUGUGAACAUGGGUGUGUGUGCAUGUGGACGUGGGUGUGUGCGUGUGAACAUGGGUGUGUGUGAACACGGGUGUGUGCACGUGUGAACAUGGGUGUGUGUGAACAUGGG